UACGUAGGGGGCUAGCGUUGUUCGGAAUUACUGGGCGUAAAGGGCGCGUAGGCGGUUGCUCAAGUCAGGCGUGAAAGCCCCGGGCUCAACCUGGGAAUUGCGCUUGAGACUGGGCGGCUUGAGUUCGGGAGAGGUGAGUGGAAUUCCCAGUGUAGAGGUGAAAUUCGUAGAUAUUGGGAAGAACACCGGUGGCGAAGGCGGCUCACUGGACCGACACUGACGCUGAGGCGCGAAAGCGUGGGGAGCAAACAGG
rnacentral:rRNA from 1 species